AUGACUGUGCUUACAUCUAUGGGGUGCUGGGGGGAUGGCUGUGCUCUGACACACUUCCUCACUGAAGAACAGGACUCAGUCAAGGAUAUCCAACCGAACAUCAGUCAUGCAUGGGGAACAGCCAGCGAGGAGAAUGAGCUCGAUCAUCCGUGCAGAUCCCGAGGGGGGUUGGUGGCGAGGAGGAGCUCGUGGUAAGACUUCCGCCCCACAGCUAAUCCAAGAUAGAGGUUGGAUCCAACAUGCAGUACCUCCAGCAGGCAGAGAGGCAAGAACCAUUUGUCCGCCAGCUUAGGGACAAGCAACUCUAUUCAUAGUCCUGUGUAAUGUCUAAUGAAUUGCAUUGCUGGACUUUUUGAAACCUAAUGUAUUUGUAUUGUUUAAAACAAAUACAAAUAAAAGGACAUUUAUGGUUUAAACAUGUCUUUAAUAUUUAUUUGUUUUAGCUGUUAGUGAUAAUUCCCUAUGUGUUAAUACAUUUGUGUUUAUAUCGUGAAGCCUUUAGGCAUGUGUUAUGAAUUACAGUACCAAAUGGGUCUGACUUUAAGUGAAGUACAGCGUCAUGCAAUAUGGAGUCUUUAUGGAUGUGUUAUGAAUUAAGUAUUACAGGACACUACAUAAAGUGUCAAUAAAUAGGUUAAUAACAUUCUGUUGAUUUAUGAAGUUUCUCUCAUGAUCCACAGGUUAUUGUAGGGUGUGAGAGGUAUUUAAAUGGGUUGACGGACCCAUUUGUGUGUGUGUGUGUGUGUGUCAGAACCAAGAUGAUUUGGAGUAGCCCAACCUGUGACUACCACACCGCACCAGGUAUUCCUCUUCUCUUCCCAUGCUGGAGACCAGGGCUUGAUAACCUGUUACAAUGGUGCCAACAUUUUGUGGCUGAUCUUUCAGCGGGAGAGUGGGUGAAUGUGUCAAAGAACUGAUGGUCCCAACGACGCAUGGUAUGGCUAGUUCUUGUUGUGUUUGUGUCCUGAGGAACAUGUAACUUGGUUUCAGAUGGCCACUUUCAAUUUCCUUAUGUUGGGGGCUUUCAUCAAGGUGUAAGUGCUUCUUGGUGUUACGUCAUUGGUGUAACGUCAUAUUGCAC
rnacentral:lncRNA from 13 species